rnacentral:rRNA from 1 species
CCUACGGGUGACAGCAGUGGGGAAUAUUGCGCAAUGGGCGAAAGCCUGACGCAGCGACGCCGCGUGAGGGAUGAAGGUCUUCGGAUCGUAAACCUCUGUCAGCAGGGAAGAACGGUCACUGUGCUAAUCAGCAGUGAAUUGACGGUACCUGCAAAGGCAGCACCGGCUAACUCCGUGCCAGCAGCCGCGGUAAUACGGAGGGUGCGAGCGUUAAUCGGAAUUACUGGGCGUAAGGCGCUCGUAGGCGGUAUGUCAAGUCAAGGGUGAAAUCCCCGCGCUAAACGGGGGAACUGCCUUUGAAACUGGCAAACUGGAGUGUGUGAGAGGAUAGUGGAAUGCCAGGUGUAGGAGUGAAAUCCGUAGAUAUCUGGAGGAACAUCAGUGGCGAAGGCGACUAACUGGAACAUAACUGACGCUGAGGAGCGAAAGCGUGGGUAGCAAACAGGAUUAGAUACCCUUGUAGUC